rnacentral:rRNA from 1 species
CAGUAGCCACGGGAAUACGGAGGGUGCAAGCGUUAAUCGGAAUUACUGGGCGUAAAGCGUGCGUAGGCGGUUCGUUAAGUCUGUUGUGAAAGCCCCGGGCUCAACCUGGGAAUGGCAAUGGAUACUGGCGAGCUAGAGUGCGUCAGAGGAUGGUGGAAUUCCCGGUGUAGCGGUGAAAUGCGUAGAGAUCGGGAGGAACAUCAGUGGCGAAGGCGGCCAUCUGGGACAACACUGACGCUGAGGCACGAAAGCGUGGGGAGCAAACAGGAUUAGAUACCCCAGUAGUCCCUGUCUCUUAUAC